rnacentral:rRNA from 1 species
UACAGAGGGUGCGAGCGUUAAUCGGAAUUACUGGGCGUAAAGCGCGCGUAGGCGGCUUUGCAAGUCGAGUGUGAAAUCCCCAGGCUUAACCUGGGAACUGCAUUCGAGACUGCAUGGCUAGAGUAUGGGAGAGGGAAGUGGAAUUUCAGGUGUAGCGGUGAAAUGCGUAGAUAUCUGAAGGAACAUCAGUGGCGAAAGCGACUCCUGGACCAAUACUGACGCUCAUGUGCGAAAGCGUGGGGAGCAAACAGG